rnacentral:lncRNA from 1 species
AUGAGCCGUGCCCAGCAUCUAGCAUCUGGAACGCUCGGCCGUCUCAGGAGGACUGUGCUAGAGGCAGGGACAAGGACCGAAUGCGUCUUUCUCACGGUCCAUCACAAACAUCACAGUAUCGACGUCAACAGCUGCCACGGCCGAAACGGGAGAACGAGGUGGGGACUGCUACUUCUGCACACGGUGUGGCCGCUCCGCUCUCUCCGGGAAGUCACGGCCAGCAGGUUCCACGGGGGGCAGGGCUCCACACGCACCCAGCUGCCCCACAAGAGCGGAGGGCCUGUUGACGAAAUCGGCAGCAAGCUGAUUGAGGCGUUGGGGUGGCCGCUAACACUGGGAGCAAGCUUCGCUGCCGGGCCUGCAAGUGGGAAACGCAUCGUCGAAAUGCCUUCAGCCUUGGUCCCAGUGCCAUCUUUCCAGAAACGUACACGUGUGUGUGUGGUAUCCAAGUACUCCUUAUGAUGAAUUCAUCCACUCAACAAAUACGAACGGAGUGCCUCUGACAGCUGUCAUUCCAGGCAGCCCCUGCUCAGAGCGUGGUGUGCGAGGACGAAUCCCGUGGUUUCGUGGUUUUACGAUUCUGGCUGAACAUCCAGAAUGGAAAGUCACACAACCGUGUCAGUAUUUAGGCAAUCCCGCUUCGGGGUAUUUACCCCCAGAUCAUCGAAAGCAGGGACUCUACGAGCUAUUUGUACGCCCAUGCUUGUAGCAGAAUUAUCCACAGCACCCAGAAGGUAGACACAACCCAAACGUCCAUUGACAAAUAAGUGGAAAAACCAAAUAGGACAUGUACACACAAUGGGAUAUUACUCGGCUUUAAAAAGGCAAAAAAUUCAGGGCGCCUGGGUGGCUCAGUCCGUUAAACAUCCGACUUCAGCUCAGGACAUGAUCUCGUGGCUCGUUAGUUCUAGCCCCGCGUCGGGCUCUGUGCUGACAGCUCAGAGCCUGGAGCCCGCUUCGGAUUCUGUGUCUCCCUCUCUCUCUGCCCCUCCCCUGCUCACACUCUGUCUCUCCAUCUCUCAAAGAUAAAUAAACAUUUUUUAAAAAGGCA